rnacentral:misc_RNA from 1 species
CAAAACGCAUUUUCCAAAAUCGGUUACUUCCACCGUCUUUAGUAUUCAUUUUUUUGUUAAUAAGUUCAGUUGGCAUCUUCUUUCGGUUUUAUCUUGAUUUGUUCUGUUCUUUUCUGUUCUGUUUUCGUUUCUCCGUUAAUGUUUCUUCCUUAACUGCUUUCUCUAUCCCAAGGGCUGUUUCUCGGCAGUGGUCCUUGUUGGUUCUCAAUACACCGCCAUAAGUAUAAAUUUCUCUCUCCUCUGCUUUUUUUUUUUUUUAAUACCUUUUGGAUAUUCAUUGAGAUUCUUCUGCUCUCUCUCAGUCUAUCUCAUAACAGCGCACAUCUCGAUCUCAAAAUAUCAAUUCCGUGGGAUUAAAUCGCAUAUUUUUCGCUCUUUCUGCGUACCCACAUGCCAAAAGCCAUUGCUUUCCCUCUCUUUCUCAUAAACCUCUCUGACGCAACUCUCAAGUCUCACCCUUAGCAGAGAAGAGAGAAGACGAAAAAGGAGUGAAUUUUGAUCAAUAAAUAAUCCAUUUGACAACUUUAUCAUCCUUUU